CAAAUAGGGAAAUGGAGAGGAAAAGGGGCCUCGGCGAUACCUUGGUAUACUGCAGUUAUUAGCGCUCAGUUGGUUUGAUUUGCCGAAUGGACGUUUUCAUGGUGGAGUAAAUGCUCGUUUCCAGACGCCAUGGAGUCCCAUGAGGAAAAGCCCAUCAUUUAUACGAUGGAGAAUAAACCCAUAGUGACAUGUGCUGGGGACCAAAACCUCUUAACUGCUCUUUAUAGCCUGCUGGCACAGCAGCUUCCCCGGGAGCCUAUGGAGUGGAGAAGGUCUUACGGGCGCGCGCCGAAGAUGAUCCAUCUAGAAGCCAACUUUGUCCAGUUCAAAGAGGAGCUGCUUCCUAAAGAGGGAAACAAGGCUCUCCUCACGUUCCCUUUCCUGCGCAUCUACUGGACUGACUGCUGUAAAGCAGAGUCUCUUCCAUGGAAAUGACCGGCAGGCUGAAGAUUGCGCUUCGGAGAGACAGACAGAGAGAGAGAGAGCGGUUGCUCUGAAGCAGUGGUGUAGUCUACUUUUUUGCAGCCCUAUGCGUCUGAUCCUCGGACGACGGAACACUCCCAAGGCUACAGUGCGGAGCUGAGAACUCGGACGAGAGACCAGACCGUCAGGGCUCACCGAACCAAUGGACCCUGACCUGGAGUCUGCCCCACCACCCCGACACACACUGCCUCCUCAGCAAGGCGGAGCAUCAUUCCCACAAGCGCCUCACCCACAGAGAAGGGGAGAAGUUGAGACGAAGGAAAAAAACUGAGCCUCUGGAAUCUCCUCCAGCCUACCAGCCGCCUCCAGCAUCAGCACCUCCCCUGCUUCUCCAUCACACACGAGAUCCGGUCUUACAUAUGGCGAUGGAAAAGAUACUCUCCUGGACCUGACCACGUGCUCACCAGUGGGUCCACAAGGCCAUAAUCUAAAGUCUGAAGUCCUUCAUCUUCCAAUGGUGGAAGUGGCUGGAGCUGAUGGCGUGCUUUUAGUCCACAGACCCUGGACGACAGCGGACAUGAAGGAAAGCAUGGCUUCUCUUCCCAAUGUGAGAGAGGUAGGAGGAAAGACAUUUGGUAAUGAGCUGUUGAUAUUUUGCAGAGAAUUCCGACCGGCCACCCAUGAACUUCGCCGCCUACUCAUGAUCAAGAUGGGUAUAGAUUGGAACAAAGUUUCCAAAGAGUGGCCGGACGCUGACCAGCGAAUGACUACACCAGACUGGACAGAGAUGUGAUUUUUCCGCGAAUUCGCGGAAUUCCGCUUUUUUCACCUCAAAACUUGAAAAAAAAAAUGUUUCCGAUUUUUCCCUCAAAUCCACAUUCGUAUCCUAUUCGUUCCGACUUUGUUUGAAAGAUGGCAGCCUCGGAUUUGCAUCUUUACACCUCGAUCACGGAGGCUGCCAUCUUUCAACUCUUUGUUUGAAGCGAGCGCAUUCAUUGGUUGUUACAGAGCGA